GGGGGCAACUCCCUGAGUAAAGCGGCGCACGGGUGAGUAACGCGUAGGUGACCUACCCUUGAGUCCAGGAUAACCUACCGAAAGGUGGGCUAAUACCGGAUAUGACCACGGGGAUCUCGGUCCCUGAGGUGAAAGGUGGCCUCUGUUUACAUGCUACCGCUCAUCGAUGGGCCUGCGCGCCAUUAGCUAGUUGGUGGGGUAAUGGCCCACCAAGGCGAUGAUGGCUAGCUGGUCUGAGAGGAUGGCCAGCCACACUGGGACUGAAACACGGCCCAGACUCCUACGGGAGGCAGCAGUGGGGGAUAUUGCGCAAUGGGCGAAAGCCUGACGCAGCGACGCCGCGUGGGUGAUGAAGGCCUUCGGGUCGUAAAGCCCUGUCGAGGGGAAAGAAACGGUCUCGACCCAACACGUCGGGAUCCUGACGGUACCCCUAAAGGAAGCACCGGCUAACUCCGUGCCAGCAGCCGCGGUAAUACGGAGGGUGCGAGCGUUGUUCGGAAUCACUGGGCGUAAAGGGCGUGUAGGCGGUCCGCUAAGUCUGAUGUGAAAGCCCGGGGCUCACCCCCGGAAGGGCAUUGGAAACUGACGGACUCGAGUCCCGAAGAGGAGGGUGGAGUUCCUGGUGUAGCGGUGAAAUGCGUAGAUAUCAGGAGGAACACCGGUGGCGAAGGCGGCCCUCUGGACGGUGACUGACGCUGA
rnacentral:rRNA from 1 species